rnacentral:rRNA from 1 species
UGGGGAAUAUUGCACAAUGGGGGAAACCCUGAUGCAGCAACGCCGCGUGAAGGAUGAAGGUUUUCGGAUUGUAAACUUCUUUUAUUCGGGACGAAGAAAGUGACGGUACCGAAUGAAUAAGCCACGGCUAACUACGUGCCAGCAGCCGCGGUAAUACGUAGGUGGCGAGCGUUAUCCGGAUUUACUGGGUGUAAAGGGCGAGUAGGCGGGAUUGCAAGUCAGAUGUGAAAACUAUGGGCUCAACCCAUAGACUGCAUUUGAAACUGUAGUUCUUGAGUGAUGGAGAGGCAGGCGGAAUUCCCGGUGUAGCGGUGGAAUGCGUAGAUAUCGGGAGGAACACCAGUGGCGAAGGCGGCCUGCUGGACAUUAACUGACGCUGAGGCGCGAAAGCGUGGGGAGCAAACAGGAUUAGAUACCC